rnacentral:lncRNA from 1 species
GGCUUCAGGUGAUCCUCCCACGUCAGCCUCCCAAAGGGUUGGGAUUACAGGCAUGAGCCACCAUGCCCAGCCCAGAUGAUUCUUAUAAGAUGAGAACAGCUGCUCCAAAAGAGUCAGAUGCUGAGAUCCAUUGUCCACCCUGGCUCCUGCUCUGAAUUGACAUCAGUUUGCAACUAGCAGUUUCAUAAAUCAAGAAAAAGAAGAAAGGUAAAUUAAUGACUGUGUUAACUAGAGGGGCUCUGAAUUUCUGCUUUACAUGUACUCAUUUUGAAUUUCACUUUUAUUAUAAUGAACUUGCAAACACAGCAUUGCAAUAGUAUAUGCACCUCCCAAAGAUGCUGGGAAAUAGCUGAUAUUUCAUCAUUUGAGGACAGUUUGUGCCUGCAAGUGGCAGAGGUGCAGGAGGAGACAAAUAAAAGGGAUGCCUACAUCCUAUUUCCAUGAAUUUCUGUCCUCUGAGCUGAAAGACAAUUUACAAGUUGGCUGAUAAGACCUUGAAGAAAGAAGAUAUUUUAAAACUUUAAUUGAAAAUCCCCAUUCCUUCUCAUUGAAGAAGCAAAAGAAGAAACUAUAAUGAUGGACACUCUGGUGCUAGUAUCAGUCAUUUUGAUCACAAGACGUGGACCAGCCCACCUUGGAGCUCACUGUGGUGGUGGCCUGGUCCUAAUGCAAGUCCUAAUGGAGCUCUUGGAACUGGCUGUAGCCUUUGCUGAGCAGGAGCAACUAUGUCUCUGGUUCUUAAGGAUUGAAAAGUGUCUGUGGCCAUCUGAAAACGUCCACAUGAUGCCAGACCAUGCUUUACUCUGAAAAUCCACCGAUAAGGUACGUUGAAGAUGGAGAACAACUGAUGUCAAGACACAUUUUGGUUGUAAGGGACAGAAGUCCAACUCCAACGAGCUUGCCAAGGAUGGAACCUGCUGGCAAACAUAACCAAACUUUGGGAAGGGCAGGGUAUGGUUAACCUCAGGUUUCUGGAAGCAGAGUGUACAGUGCUGUGCCGUCCCUCUUCUCUCUGCUUCUCUCUGCGUAUUGGCCCUAUCCUCUCAGUGGGGCACCCUCCCUGAGCAGCGAACAGCAGCCACAGGAAGCUCCAGUGUCAAUGCCUCCCACAGCUUUCCAGAGAAGCAGCAGCCUCUUUGUUAGCUCCGUAUCAAAGACAUCCACAGGCAGGGCUUUGUGUGACCCAGUUUGGGUCACGUCUUUAUUUGGGGCCCGGAGGAAAUGGAUACAAUGACUACAGCCCAUCAUAGAACCUCAUGUUUAGAGGACCAAAUUUCCUCUCUCCAAAAGUGAAAUGUUGUCACUGUCCAUUCAACUGAUGAAAAUCUUCCUUUUCAACAGAAAAACUAUCAUGAUGUUGUCUGUUGGGCUUCAGUUUCUUACAGCAGUCAUCUUAAGAAUUAAACUGGUAUGGAUAAUCUGACUAUGAACUCCUUGAGGGCAGGGACCAUAUUAUAUAAUACUUCUGUGUCCUCUGCUAUUUCUUAGCAGAAUUUUGAAAAUGUGCCAAGUGUUGACUUGGUUCGAUCACUUGUGAGAAUGGAGGGACCCAUAAUGUUAAUAAUCAAUGAAGGUUGUUGGAGUUACUUACCCAAAACCUUAUGAACUUAGCCUUCCCUAGCAGAUUUAGUUUCGUAAUUUGUCCGGUAUAAGCAAACACUAAAGAGGGAUUGGGGAAAGUUGUGAGUUGAGUAGUUGGGAAAAAGGUAGUUUGCAGUUUUAUUUACGUCUCACAGCUUGACAUUUUUUGUUUGCCUUGGAGGGGGUACUUUUAAAAAUUCCUCUUUUGAAAACAAUAAAAUCUUAGAUUUUGGAUAACAGAUAUUUCUGUACUAUAUACCUCACUUAAGAUUUUCAAAGUAAUGUUUAAAAGUGCCUUUUAUAUUUUUUCAUACCACAUUGUAGGGAAGGCCAGGGUCAUUUUUUAACACUUAACUAUGCUCAAUACCUCCUCACCACUAUAAAGUAAGGUCGAAUGUUGGUUAAAGCAAAGCUGUCUGGAAUCACCCUGUCAAAAGUACUGAUUUAUAACCUUGCUACUCACAUUUCUUACUGUGGUGCCCUCCCUCUUGUUGGCUCCUGCAUCUUUGAAGUACAGGGAAAAUGAACUAAUAUGGCAGCUCCAAUAUGCAGCUAAUCCUGCCAAUGAUGUCUCCCCUGGAAGUGUUUGAGAGAAGAAUUUCUUUUCCCAGUAUGGAUUUAUGUAAACAUUUGUUCCAUUCACGAGUAGCACAUUAAUGCCUAAUUCUGGAAAAAAUACAAAGAAAAAACCUUU